rnacentral:rRNA from 1 species
UCUUGACAUCCACGGAAGUUUUCAGAGAUGAGAAUGUGCCUUCGGGAACCGUGAGACAGGUGCUGCAUGGCUGUCGUCAGCUCGUGUUGUGAAAUGUUGGGUUAAGUCCCGCAACGAGCGCAACCCUUAUCCUUUGUUGCCAGCGGUCCGGCCGGGAACUCAAAGGAGACUGCCAGUGAUAAACUGGAGGAAGGUGGGGAUGACGUCAAGUCAUCAUGGCCCUUACGACCAGGGCUACACACGUGCUACAAUGGCGCAUACAAAGAGAAGCGACCUCGCGAGAGCAAGCGGACCUCAUAAAGUGCGUCGUAGUCCGGAUUGGAGUCUGCAACUCGACUCCAUGAAGUCGGAAUCGCUAGUAAUCGUGGAUCAGAAUGCCACGGUGAAUACGUUCCCGGGCCUUGUACACACCGCCCGUCACACCAUGGGAGUGGGUUGCAAAAGAAGUAGGUAGCUUAACCUUCGGGAGGGCGCUUACCACUUUGUGAUUCAUGACUGGGGUGAAGUCGUAACAAGGUAACCGUAGGGGAACCUGCGGUUGGAUCAC